GGUAAGAUGGCCGAGCGGUCUAAGGCGCUGUGUUCAGGUUCCAUUAGAACUAGGACGAUUCGCAGUCUCGAAAGGGGCCUGGGUUCGAAUCCCAGUCUUAUCA
rfam:Fusarium graminearum chromosome 4, complete genome